UUACAAGUCUCAAAGUACCAAGAUUAAGAACAACAAAAAUUAUUAAUGGUAAUUUAGAGUUGACAACCUACUUUAGCUUUAUUUUCAUAAAAUAUUUAAAAAAAAUACCUAGAAACAAAAGAACAUGGAAUUGUAAAUUUGUAAUUCAUGCGAGCAGAAUAAAAAUGAGAGAGAUGGUUCACGAACAUGUAGAAGGCCAAUUAUAUCUCCUUAUUAAACAAUAACUUAAUUAAAAUGAUAAAAUAUAUAAGGAAAUAGCCGAUGAUUGCAUAUAAAUAAAUAUCUCCAAUUUGGUUUGACGAUCCUUAGCGGUUGGGUUUGUUGACUAUGUUCGGCUCGUAUCAUUUGCAAGGGUGGUUGUGAUAAUUACCUACAUUGCCUAAUCCACAGGCUUGGAAAAGCUUGACGAGAUCAGCAUAUUUCUGAGGAUUAUUCGCUAUUAUACAUGAACAUUGUUUUGUCGCCGCUUGAUCUCUCUUUGCACGAAUGUUACAACAGUCCUUUUCCCAGUACUUUUUAUCUCUAGGAAUAAGGUUCAUGCAGUAAGCAAGACUUUCAAAGCAAGUAUCUGCCAACUUCUUACUCUUGAUUGUAGCCGGGAAUGAUGACAAGAGUACGACGAAGACGAUGCAUAUUAAUUGAAUGGUCUUCAUUUUCUUUUGAUCAAUUAGUAGCUCUUUAUGAUAAUUAAUUAGUCUUGAGAAAGUUGAAACAAUUUAGUUUUGGGAACAUGUAAGUUUUGAGGUCUUUAAAUAUCAAAUUGGAAUGAGUAAAAUGUGGAUAUAUUGAAGGUGGGAAUUACAAAGCAAUCUUCAAAAUAAAAGAAUGACUUAUUCAAAAGACCGAUUCAAUAGGAAGUGAAUAAAAAUAGAGUUUUUGAUGAGUAGGUGUAUCCUUUUGUAUGAAUAAUAACUCAAGCUGUCUGAAUCGUUAACAUGGGAAGCUCUAUGGAGACAGAAAUAUCCGGUCCUUGGUUCCUACGGAGAGUAUACGAGGUUAAGCAAAGAGCUCAAGCUGUACAAAAUCUUAGUUCAUUAUCAAGCUCUCAUUGGUUGGGAUAAUAAUCAACGUAUACUCAACAAUAACAACAACAACAACAAAAACGGAUUAGCGGUAUGUUCGAGUAGUUCGGGUGGGUUUAGUGUUACUAACAAUGGCGUUGGUAUGAAUCGGGAGAUAAUAAACGGUGGAUAUACAUCGAGGAAUUUGCAAGGUGGCUGGGAAAAUUUAAAGCAAGAUCAACGGCAAAAAUAUUAUGCAGUGGUUAAUGGGUUUAAACAACAUUAUCUGCAAUCUAAGUAAUUAAUCUAACAAAAUGGUUGAUUGUUAAGUUCUAAUGACUACCAAGCCUUAGUUACCAACUAAUGUCUUAACUAAUUAUAUAUUGUGCAUUUUAUAAUGUCGUCGAGGAGUAAAAACUUGUAGUUCACUCAUACGGUCAGUAUGUGUAUAUGUGCUACAUAAUUAAGUUCUGUAUUUUCGAAAACAGAGUCUCGACGCCAGUGGAGAUUCUUACUAAGUCCAUACGCAGUGCAAAAGAAUGGCACCAUGUUCAAGCGUCUACCUCACCGCCUCGACCCUCAUUGACCGACGUUCCGAUCCCACCCUUUCACUCCGCAAGUGUACUCUGUUUUACCGAUGCAGCUUGGACGCUACUUCAUCCAGAGCAGGCUGCGGCUGGAUCUUCAUCUCCCAACAGGACGAACACUAGCACCAGGGUACAACGACAUUUGAGAACACAUCUUCUUCUCUAGUAGCUGAGGCGCUAGCUAUUAGAUUGGCUCUACUCAACGCCCUCGAAGCCGGUUUUACAAGAAUCUGUAUCAAAACCGAUUGUCAAACAUUUGUUGCUCUUAUCAACUCGAAGAACCACCCGAAGGAUCUCUACGGAAUAUCCCGGGACAUCGAGCAUCUAUCCCUUUCCUUUGAUUGUAUUGUUUUUCCUUAUGUUUCCAGAAACUUGAACUCCUUAGCUGAUUCACUUGCUAAAUCAGCAUUGUACUUGGCUACUACCAACUAUUCUUAGUUGGGCUGCAGUUUUAAUAUAUGAUAUGUUUGUGUUAAAAAAAAAGUUCUGGUAUUGGCAAUGAAGAUUACAUAAGUGUUUUGAUUACAUUAUACUUUUUCAAAAAUGUGCAUUUUUCGUAUAUGUUAUAUUAACUUUUUAAAAAACCUCACACUGAAAUUUUUAUGAUCCAUGAUUUAACUUUUUUUAUGACAAAAUACAAAUUAUUACAAAAUCAUGUAAAUAGAAAGUCUCAUAUAUAUUAAUAUCUUUUAAUUAAACUAUAUACCAUAUAAACUACAUAAAGAUUUUAAUUUUGAAAUUUGCUUUGAACAACUUUUUUUGAUAAAAUCUUUGAACAAAUACUGACAACUUAAUAUUUAAAAUUUAAAAUUUGCAUUGAAUGUUUAUAAAAAUUAUAAAGUACUAAAACUUUCAAAAACAUUGCACAAUGAAAAUUUGUCAUCAACGAAUUAAUUUUUUUUGUUAUAAAAAGAUACAAAUAAGUAGAAUGCAUCGUUUGACAAUAUAUCAAUAUUAAAAAUAACUAUUUAUCUAUGUAUAUAUUAUGUAAAUUUUUAUAUAAAAUAGAAAAUAGAAAAACUGAUCAAUUGGAUUAAUAAAAUUUAUUUACAUAUUCACACCAAUUUAAUUAUAUAUGUAAUAGUUAUUGACUUUUUCAUUAUCCACGAUGUUAUUUAUAUAUACAAUGUUCAUCUCACGCAAAGUGCAGGUCUUGAUCUCUUAUUAUUAUGUAAACAAAACAUAGAUAAAUGAUGCAGAAAAAAUACAUGUGAGUAAGCUUGUGUAUACUACUACUUGAGUUCGCCCUAACGCUUACAUACACAAUUAUCGAGACAGCCCCGGUGAAGCCAUGAUCUAGCUGGCGCCGGGAUACUCUUGCUCUUCCUCUCUCUGUUCCUUUCAAACCUGCUCUCUCUCUCUACUGUACGUUUUUAAACCUCUUGUCUCUUGGUGUUUGGAGAUCUAAUCUGAGCUUUCAAAGCCCCGAAGAAUCUUACACAUGAGCUUGGUUUCAAUUGUUAAUGGCAAGGUUUGAAGAUGUAUCUCCUUGGAGGAGUUGGAUAAGCUCACCCGUUGCCCAUUCCACUCCUGUAGAACCACCGGCUGUUUCUUACUGCUCCCUAAUCUGACCAUAAUGGAUCUGCUGGCACAGAUCUCAGGUUGUUAUUCAAGGUCCACUGGAACUAAGCUAUUCUUCAGAGGUUUCCGGAAAGAUCCUUCUCAGACCUCUCUCCCCAAUCAUAUCGACCCCUUUUGCUCGCUGCGAGCCAAAUAUGUGAGCCUUGACGGCUUUGGACUCUCACCGAAAACACCACUCACAGUAGCACAUACCAACAAAUGCUCACCUUUGCUAAGCUUUUUGGACUUCACUGACCAGUGGCUCAACUUUGAUUUCGUCAAAUCUUCUUGGCUUGGCUCCGGCACGGUAAUGCUGGACGUGGAAGUGUCUGCCUGAUAUCAUUGCUUGCUCCCUUGGAAACUAUCGUCAAGCUAAUAUCUCUGUCCGUUGGUGUGAAGGGGAAAAUUUCUGAAUCCUCUCCUCCAUGGUUUCUCCUCACGUGCGUAGACACCCUGCAGCUAUGUUUUCUAAUAUCGUGCUACCCAAUGCAAAAAUCUGAACAACCAUGCUGUGUUUGUGGGAUUCCUGGUGCAAUCGAUGGAGUUAAUUCAGAAACGUCAAACAAAGUUCAUCAGCAACGUUCAACUCUGACAUGAACAAGUGUAGAAUCACUACCAUUAUUUGGUCAAAGUCUAUUAAAGAUUGAAGAUUGUAGUCCCUCAGCCACUUUCCUUACAACAAUGGCUAGCCAAAUUUCCUCAUGUCGGGGCCAUGAGAGAUCAUUUUAAACUCCUCUCUAUGAGAGGUACCUUUCUCUUGGCGUUAAAGCUAAUGAGUAUUUUCGUUUUCCUAACCGCUUGUGUAAUGGUUCGUUUGGGACCGGAAGAUACAACGAGAUUCAUCCCGGUGAGACUUGAGGCUGUGAAGCGUUCAACGUCACGAUGUACGGUGACUAUUCCCCAUGUCUGAAAAGUUUGAAGGGCGAAGUACUUUCUCCAUGAGCUUAUUCGCGAGUGGCUCCUUUAAAUUAAUUUUCACACUCUAUCAAACUUGUCUAAGUUUGUGUCUCUAUCUUUAUUUUGCUUUGUUCUUGUAAUUUCCAAAAGGACCUCGUAUGUCCGAUGUUGCAUUUGUCCAUGUAAUCGUUUAAGUUAUGAAUGAAGAAUGUGUUACAAAAAAAAACAAAGAUAAAUAUACAUUCAAUUUUACUCGAGAUUAAAUAGAUUUAAUGAGAGUAACAAUAUUUCUUCAUUUUUUCUUUUCACUUCUGACAUUUUUAUAUUUUUCCCUUUACUCUAUGAAUGACCAAUCAAAGCUAAAGUUGCAUUAGACUAAUUUUUGGAUUGAAAAAUAUCCCCUUGCAUAAUAAUUAUGGAUUGUACUAUUAGUUGGUGUUACAGCAUCUCCAAGGGGACUCUAUUUUUUUCUCUAUAAUUUACACUAAAAUAAAGUAACUCUAUUAUAUAGUUGAAUUUGCUCCAACGGUUUACUCUAUAAUAGAGUUACUCUAUAAUAUAGUGAAAUAUAGAGUAAUCUUAUUUUUUUACUCCAAAUAUAGAGUGAAAAAACAAGAAUACUCUAUAUUUCACUCUAUUAUAGAGUAACUCUAUUAUAGAGUGAACCAUUGGAGCAAAUCAACUCUAUAAUAGAAUUACUCUAUUUUAGAGUGAAAUAUAGAGAAAAUUAUAGUGUAGCAUUGGAGAUGGUCUUACAAGUCUCAAAGUACCAAGAUUAAGAACAACAAAAAUUCUUAAUGGUAAUUUAGAGUUGGCAACCUACUUUAGCUUUAUUUUCAUAAAACUUUUUAAAAAAAAUACCUAGAAACAAAAGAACAUGGAAUUGUAAAUUUGUAAUUCAUGUGAGCCGAAUAAAAAUGAGAGAAAUGGUUCACGAACAUGUAGAAGACCGAUUCUAUCUCCUUAUUAAACAAUAACUUAAUUAUUAUUUUUUUUCACACUAAAAGAUUAUAUUCAUAUUAACCAAAUACACAUGAUUACAGGAGCAUACAAUUUAACCGAAUACAAGAUCAACCAUAAGAUUAAACCAAAGCCGACGAGUUCACACGAACCCCCGGAGUCCAUAGCCAGCGGAUGAUAUUCAAUCCCUGGAACCAAAGACAUGACAAUUUUGAAACUAAAAUCCAAAAUAAAAGCUAGCAAUUAGCGAAGACAAAGAUGAAAGUUCCUAAGCUGCAUGAAUCCUAAACUCCAUACGGCUCUUGAUGAAGAGAACACGAAACGGAAACCUCCCAUGGUGAAUAGCGCAGGCUGAGUAGAAACAAGCUUCAAAUCCCGGAGAAACAGAACAUGCAGUUUCAUAAGCUAUAACCGGAACCCGGCGAAAGUCGAAUCAAGCGACAUAAGUUCAUCAAAGAAGAAGCACAACAAGGAUGAGGCUCGAUCAAACCUCUGGGUUAAAGACAUGGAGCGAAUCGCCUCACAGCUACCAGAAUCAGCCUUGAUAAUCAAGACGGAGUAAGGAUCGAGAUGCUGUGAAGCCAAGGAGCCAACAAGAAGGAGACGAAACAUGCACACUUAGAAAGGCAGACAUCACACCGUUGAGUUUGAAAAUUCGGUAUCUCCACCGCAAGCCAAGCUAAAAUCCGAUCAAUCUGAAACAGAUCAGACCACGAUCUACAGAAUUUGGUUUCAAAAUUGACAUGCAACAACACCGAUUGAGACACAAAGACAAUACAAAACAAAAUCUACCCGACUCCGGCUCUAUGGAAGCAGCCGGAGCCGGUGACCGGACAUGAUUAUCGAGAAACCUUAGAAGAGAGAAGGGAGAGGAUUUUAAGUAUUUACUGGUUCCCCCACCGAGUUUUGACACUUAGAAUUAGUUUGCUUAACAAUAACUUAAUUAAAAUGAUAAAAUAUAUAAGGAAAUAGCCGAUGAUUGCAUAUAAAUAAAUAUCUCCAAUUUGGUUUGACGAUCCUUAGCGGUUGGGUUUGUUGACUAUGUUCGGCUCGUAUCAUUUGCAAGUGUGGCCGUGAUAACUACCUACAUUGCCUAAUCCACAGGCUUGGAAAAGCUUGACGAGAUCAACAUAUUUCUGAUGAUUAUUCGCUAUUAUACAUGAACAUUGUUUUGUCGCCGCUUGAUCUCGCUUUGCACGAACGUUACAACAGUCCUUUUCCCAAUACUUUUUAUCUCUAGGAAUAAGGUUCAUGCAGUAAGCAAGACUUUCAAAGCAAGUAUCUGCCAACUUCUUACUCUUGAUUGUAGUCGGGAAUGAUGACAAGAGUACGACGAAGACGAUGCAUAUUAGUUGAAUGGUCUUCAUUUUCUUUUGAUCAAUUAGUAGCUCUUUAUGAUAAUUAAUUAGCCUUGAGAAACUUGAAACAAUUUAGUUUUGAG
rnacentral:lncRNA from 1 species